rnacentral:miRNA from 12 species
UCCUUCAAGAGUUGGCAUAUAUAAAGAGAUCUGACAUAUAUGUGAGUGUGUGUGUGUGUGUGUGUAAACAUAUAAACACAUACGUAUAUACACAUUUUUAUGUAUGCAGAAUAUAU